rnacentral:lncRNA from 1 species
UGCAGGCGGCGCUAAACCGGUGCGCCACCAGGGCUGCCCAUCUUUCUGGAAUAUUCUAUGUCUGCAUGCACAGAAAUGUUCCUGGGUCUAUUCCUUUUCUUUUUCCAACACAAGCCAUUCCACCUCUUCCUCCUUUCACUGAUCUGCAGGCACGGGAACGGGAACAGGUCCCUUGUGGAUCAUGUGACCAGUCCUUUUAUGCAGCUGCAUAAUAUUCCUUGUGUGGCCCCCCCUCAUGUCCUAACCAUCUCCAGCUGGUCUUUCACCCACCAUGUCCCAUGCACUCAUGAGGGAGCCUGGCUGUGGGACAUUCCCAGAAGCAGCACUGCCAAGUCAGAGGGCAAGCGCCUUUGUCAUUUUGAGAGUUUUGGCACAUGACCUUGGAAGUCACACCCAAAGGCCCUGCAUCCUCCACAUGGGGAAAGGCUAAGCUAACGGAGUGGUAAUGGCCUCUUUUUGAUUCUUGCUGAUCUCCUGGGUAAAAAGUGCUAUCUCAGGGGGUUUGUUUCAUUUCUGCAAGAUAGGUUUGCAUUCUUACUGAUGUAAGACAGGCUGUGAGGAGCCACUCCGUGUGAUUUCACACACUGACCAGACCAGCGUCCCCACAGAGAAACAGAACCUUCCAGUCCUCUGGGGGCCCCCUCACAUUCCCCACAAGGCGAGCCCUUCCCUGACCCCUAACAGCCCUGGUCAGCUUCUGCCUCUGUCCCUUCCCAGCCCCCGACCUCUGUGUGUGUCACCUCUUUUGUUGAGCAAGGAGCUUUGACGUGCCCAAGCCACUCCCAAAACUCCUCUGAGACCCUCCUCUGACCUCCUCUGAAGUCACUGGGGAGCCUGAUCUGUUCUGAGACCCCAGGUGAAGGCACGAACUUCCCUGAGCCUCAGUUUCGGCAAAGUAAGGGCUGGUCUGCCCUACCCUGUGACAACCUGAGGACCCAGUGGGAUGCUCUGGGCUGGCCACUUCCUGUCACCUUGUACAUCAUUUGUCACCACACAGGAUUUUACAACUGACAUGGUGCUGCCUCUGGUGGGCUGGGGCUUGUGCUGUGGGCAGCAGCUGUGUGAUUAGGGGCAAGUGGUGCAGCCUAUCUUUGCCUCAGUUUCCCCCGCUGUUGGGUGGGGCCACCACAGUCCCCUUGGGGGGCUGCUAAGAUAAUCUCAGGUGCUGAUACCUGUAGGGGGUGGCAGGACCUCCAUACAAGGUGUUGGGGGGAUUGUCGUCAUUGCACUUGUCUUUCCCCUGCACUGAGGGCCAGCACACCCUUAGGCCCUGGGCAGGCCAACCCUCUCACCCUGUCCAGAGCCACCAGCCCUCUGUGAAGGUUCACUGAGCUUCCAGUGAAUCAGAGGUGUGCAGGGCAGUGCUGGAUCCUGGGAAAGGCCUGGCCCAUGUGGCGCUGACCAGGGAACACAUGGAAGGAGACAUCCAGGCCUCCCCGGGGGGACCCACAGCCUCAGUUCUCCAUGGUGGCACCUGCUGCCGCUCUGCUUCUCAAAUGCCAAAUGACACUUGGGCCUUGAGCUUUUGAUCUGCUCCACUGUGUGGCUGUCCAUCCAUGGCCCCUCUCACGCGCCAGCUGCCCACAGCUGGGAUGACACAUCCCUGUCCUCAGGGCUCGGGCACCCCCAGGAGCUCACAGGUUUGCUCAGGUAGGCCCCGUUCACCUCCUACCUCUGGGCCUAGCUGGAAUCUACUUGCCUCGUGGCCCCUGGUGGCAGUAAUAACAGUCCUAGCCCCACUAAGCCCCCGUUCUAGGCUCAGGCUGCCCCAGACAUCUUCCACUUAAUGUCACACAUCCUCAGGAGAGCCCUGUGGGUUAUAGAUCACUAUCUUGGGUGAAAGUUCAAAUCUUUAUACUAAUAAAGGAGGCAACGUGGGUACCGCCCUUUUACUUAUCCUCUCUGUGAGUUUGCAAAUAGAGGCUCAGAGAGGGUAAGAAAAUUGAUCAGCCCACACAGCUGGUAAAAGGCAGAGUCCAGCCAUCAGUCCCUGUGGCUCUGGCCCCCCCGCAGCUCCCUCCCCUGGCCCCAGACCAGCCACAAGGGACAGAGGAUACCAGGGGCUCCCAGGUGCCUGCUCAGAAAGGCCGAGCUAUCAACAGCUAUGACCAUGUUCUCGACUUCUCAACCAGGGGGAUUUUUGCCCCCCACCCCCACCCCAUUACAUAGAGUUUCCAGAUUUGGGGGAAAAAUAACAUAAAACAGGAUGCCAUUACAUUUGAAUUUCAAGUGCACAAAGAAUAAUUGUCUGGUAUAAAGUAUGUCCCAAAUAUUGCAUGGGACUUGUACCAAAAAAUGAUUUGUAUUUUUUUAAUUUGUAUUUUACCUGGUAACUCCACCUCCAGGAAACACUGGCCGCAUCUGGAGACAUUUUCGGUGGUCACAGCUGGAGGGCACCACAGCCUCUAGAGGUCAGGGCCACAUACCCCACCUACUGUGCACCAGGCAGCCCCCUCCCCAAAGCAUGGUCUGCGGUGCAGUGGCUGAGGGACUCUAAGCUGCACACGGCAAGCAUUCCCCACAGCCCAGGCCACUGCCCAGCCCAGGUGUUUUUGCCUACUUUCUUGGACUUGGGCUCUCAUUGCACUCUCACCACUCACCCCGAGGUGAGAUCCAAGAAGCCCUCCAGAGAGGCUGGGGUUAGGAACCAGGGGACCCCAGGGGGAGGGCAGGCAGGCUGCGGGUGGCCGGAGGGGUGUGCUUUCGUCCCACCUGACGGCGCCCCACCCUCUCCGGCUCCUCCUCCCAGCCUCUCGCUCCAGCAGCUCAUCCCUGACGCAAGCUGGGGCUUUUUCCUUAAUUAAAAAGAGAUUUAAAACAUCCACUGCUGGCUCCACUGGGCCCAGGCUGACUCGAAAAGGUAAAACCACCCUCACUGCCCUGGCCUCAUCCAUAAUAAUGCAAAGGCUUUCGGCUUAAUUGGAAUGAAAAAAAAAAAAAGAUUAAGUGCAUCUGGAACCCUUGGAGGCAUUUGUCGGCUUGGUUUUUUGUUUUUUGUUUUUUUUUGAAAGACCUACACUAAAUCCGACAUCCGGUCAUCUGGUCAUCUUGGAGGAGUUAGUGCUGGCCCCAGUGCACCCUGCUCCAGCCCCAGGGCCUUUAUGCAUGCUGUGGCUGACCCCAGUGCCCUCACCUUCCCCUCCUAACCUUGUCCUGCUGCUCCUUCCCAUCAUCUGCUUCUGACUACUGACCCAAGCUCUGGAAAGUGUUUGCUUCCCGGCCUUGGGAAGGCAGGGCUCUGCGCCAGUUCCCACAUGACCCUGGGCAUGGCCUCUGACUCCUUGGCCACUAGUGUGCCCUUCUGGAAGAUGGGCUUCUCACACAUCGGCCUCACUGGGAAGACCUCCCCUCAGGGAGCUCACACAGCGCCCCACACUCCACCCUGUGCCGCCACCACAGCCACAGCAAUGUGAGACAGAACCUUGAAACACCGGGGCUCUCUGUUUUUUCCAUCUGACUCUGAAAUCUUUGGGGCCUCACUUCCACGCUGGGGCCGGGAGGGUGGAGGACAGAGAAACAUGCUGAGACUCUUUCUCCUCUGCCGUGUCCCCAGCACCUAGCACAUAGUGGGUGCUCACUAGUGGCCCGCUGAACUUGCCCCUCCCCUGGGCCGGGCUCUGUGCCGCAAGGGAAGGGAGCCUCAGAUGAAAAGGUCGGGACCAAGCGAGGUGGGGUAACAGCCAGCCAGCAGAACUGAGAGUCGGGCUCAGUUUCCCUCCUCCCAGACCCCUAGAGCCAGGGUUGUUCCAAUCCAAUAAGGAAAUUGUGCCUCCGAGUGUAAAGUUGGAACCAGGAGUAUUUCGUCAGAGCCACCCCCACUCCAGCUGUCCCACGCAUGGCACGGGUGGGUCCAGGUCCCUGACCUGCGCUCAGGUGGCUAGGAGUAACAGCAGCUGGGUGGCAUCCAGUAGGUGCUCAAUAUUGGCUGAGUCAAUGAAUAAGCGCUAAGGUCAGAAUCUCGUGCUAUUAAGUAACCAGUUGUAUUUACGCAGCAUGUCCGCAGGGCCAACUAUGUGGAUUUUUCACCUGCAAAAUGCACAUAAAUGAUUGCACCCCUUGGCGGGAGUGAGCCAUGUGGGCAUUAACUCCCCGCAGCGCCCCCUGGAGGUGGGCAUGAUUAUUUACCUUCAUUUUGCAGGUGAGGAAGCAGGGUCCAAAGAGGUGGAGUCAAUGCCAGGUGUACUGAAGCCCAGGUGUACGUUCUGGCCUCCAGUACAUCUUGGGUCCAACAGAAUCACUGUGUGUGCGACAGUGCCUUUGGGAAGAGUGAACACCGUCCCAGGGACAUGGUCCCUUCCAAGCUGGGUGCCAGUCCGAGUGCCGUUUUCAAAAAAAGCAGCAGAGGGCGCCCUUUAGCCACGAAGCCGGCUGAGGGCAACAGGUGUCUGCUGUGGCCUGGGAGUGGCCUGGGUACUGCUGAUUGCCGCCUGGGGAACUGGGGCAUCCUGAGCAGAGCAUUGGCCUGGCUCGGGGCUUCUGAAAGAUGAGAAGUGGUGGCUGAUACCCAAAGGGGCAGGGCGAGAGCUGAGGCCUGGAGCCACCUGGCCUCCACGUGUCCUCCAGCGCCUCCUUUCUCCGAGCCUUGGUUUUCUUGCCUGGAGAACGGCUGUGGGCCUAGCAUCCACUCCAGGGGUGGUGUAGGGAAGCUGCGUGAGGCAUGGUCUUCCGCCUCAGUCUCCCCCAGGCCCCAGCCCAUGGGCUCACCCUUCUUCACUCCUCCUGCACCUGGCAGCCACAUACCCCACACCAGGUGCUUUGUGCCUAAGAGACUGCUGUGACUCCACUUUUACAGCCAGGAAACAGGCCUAGAGUAGUGCAAUGCGUUCCCACAGUCACUCUAGCUUGGGGAUUCCCUGCCCUGGCUGUUAGACUUCCCUGGGCACUUUCAAAACUCCUGCUGGCCCCGAGGGGUGCCUGGGUGGCCCAGUCCUUUAUGCAUCCAACCCUUGAUCUCAGCUCAGGUUCAUGAGUUAAAGCCUCUUGUUGAGGUGCAAGCUGGGCCUGGAAACUACUUUAAAAAAAAAAAAAAUCCCUGGUGGCCAGAGUACAGUGAAAUCAGGCUCUCUGGGGGUGGGGUCCUCAAUCGGUAUUUUUCAAACUUCCCACAUGAUUCCCAGUGAGCAGCCAAGAUGGAAAUCCAGUCCCCUUGGGCUGGGAAAAGGCAGACCAAGGUUUCAGAGGAAGUCUGGCCUCAUAGCACAGUGUCUCCCCAUUUCACCCACAGAGAAGGCAGGCUCCUGGAGGCCAGGGUUUGGCUGUCUGGCCUGCUCUAGCUUCAAGGUCCAGAAUGGUGCAUGACCCAGAGCCCGAGCCCAGUCCAGGUCAGGUGACCACUGCCCGCUGGAAAGCCUCCUGCACAGACUCCCUGUUGCACCCCGAAAGCCUUCAGUAUUUUGGGGGCGCUGGGAUCCGUUCUUUACCCCCUGCCUCCUUGGGGCCUGCUCCCCCCCCCAAUCCUAGCCAAGCCCACCCCUUCAGGAAAUGGGCUUUUAAAGGCCUGAGGCGGGCACAUAAUUAACAAGUAACAGUUCUGGCUUUAGCAUAAAUGAGCUCCUUGUCUAGGGCAGGGUUGGCAUUUGUUUUUAAUCCCCAAAGUAGGUUUUAUCUCCCGAGAGCUUUUUCCCUCUUGCUCAGCCACCUCUGCUGGAGGCUGGGCCAGUCCCAGCGGCGGCGAGGGGGUGACGGGAUUUCAGAGGUGCUGGAGUCCCACCCUCCUCCUUUCCUCUCUCCUCUCUCCACCCCCUCCCCUCCCUUCUCUCCUCUCCGCCUCUAGCAUCUCUCCAGGGCCCACCAAGUGACCUGAUGCUUCCUGAUUAAGAAUGUGGGCUUUGUCGCCAACCUCCCAGAACCUGUUAAAAUGCAAAUGUGGGGCCCCGGGAGGAGUAUGGCUCUUCCCUAUUAGCAUUUUAUUUUAGAACUUGGGAAUAUUCGUGGAGGAAGGGGCCUCAGAGAGGGAGCAGGGAGGCUCCCUCCUGUUAAAGAUAACAAUAAUCAGAGCUUCCUUUUGUUGCCAGCACUCCAUGAGACGCUCUUUAUGGAUGAUUAUAGAGAAAGCUAACAGGGAUUGAGCACCCUCUAGGCCCCUGGCUCGCUGGGCAAGUGCUUUACGCGAAUUCAUUCAUUUCCUCAAGCCCAAUACCCAUCAGAGGUAGGUAUUGUCACUAUACAGCAGCAGCCAGGUUUGGGAUUUUGUUCUUGUUUUUGGCAUUAACCAACCUCAGGCUUUUGAGGUUCUGCAACUGCCUAUUAGGACAUCAGGCAUGUUCCGGAUCCACACUCCCUGACUUCUGAAUGUUAUAGGGCAGGGAUUGGCAAACCACAGCCCUUGGGCCAAAUCUAGCACGAUGCCUGUUUUUGUAAAUAAAGUUUUAUUGUGGGGUGCCUGGGUGGCUUGGUCGGUUAAGCAUCAGGACUCUUGGUAUCAGCUCAGGUGUUGAUCUCAGGGUCGUGAAUUCAAGCCCUGUGUUGGGCCUUGGAGCCUACUUUAUCGUUAUGUUUUAAAUUUGAUUUAUUUAUUUAUUCAUGAGAGGCAGAGGGAGAAACAGGCUCCCUAUGGGUAGCUGGAUGUGGGACUCAAUCCCUGGACCCUGGAAUCACAACUUGAGCCAAAGGCAGAUGCUCAACCACUGAGCCACCCAGGUGCCCCCUGGAGCCUACUUUAAAAAAUAAAUAAGUAAAUUCAGUUUUAUUGAAACACAGCCACUCAUUCAUUUGCAUAUUGUCAGUGGCAGCCUUCCCAUGACAAUGGCUAAGUUUAGCAGUUGCAACAGAAGACCACAUAGCCCCCAAAGUAAAAAAUAUUUACUGUCUGGUCCUUUUCAGAAAGUUUGCCAGCUCCAAUAUAUAGAAUUAGAAUUGUGCUUAAAAGAAUCACCAACAUUUGGAGUCAGAUUGGGUUUGGGUUCAGAUCCUGACUCCAAUACACUAGCUGUUGAACCAACCGAGUGCAGGUUCUUCCUCUGGUCCUCAGUCUCCACAUCCAUGAGAUGGGGCUGGUUAGCCUUCACACAGCAGGGGGGAGCAGUGGAGACCAAAGGAGAAAGAGCCCAUUGGGGGCUCAGCACCGUGUCUGGCAUGCAGCAAAGAAUCCGUCAAUGUCCACCAGUACACGUGAUAACAGGAAGGCCUCCUCCGAGUGCCUUCCUUUUACCUGUUUUACGUUCUGGGUUGUACUGCUUCAGAUGGAGUUGGCAGAAGCCUCCCUGGGUGAUCCUGAGGGGCCUGUAGUCUGAUUGGGAGAUGGCCUCUUCCUGCAGAACUAACUGGCCUGGGAGAUUUGGGGGGGGGCACCAGCCCAGGGAGGAAAUAGGAUCGGGGUUCAGGACUGGGAGGAGGCUGGGGCAUUGCCUGGGAGAGAGACUCCAGGCCUGAGUUUGGUGUGAGUGACAGAGGAAGCCGUGCAGGGCGGGAAGGCUGCCGUGUUCAGCGGGAGCAGGCAGGGUGCCAGGUGCUGUGUCAUCCUCUCUCCAGCCACAGAGGUGGGUCCCCCCCACCCCAUUUUGUCAGUGAAAACAGGAAGUCAGAGAGAACACAGUCCACAGAACACCCUCACUUCUGACCCCAGCUGCAGUCUUUCCUAGAAAGACUCACAGAACUCUCUGAAAGCUCUUGUACUCAUGGUUAUGAUUUAUUACAGGGAAGGGACACAGAGUCCAAUCAGCCAAUCAGAGGGAGUGUGUGGGGCAGAGACCAGGAAACGUCCAGACAGAGCUCUCAUCGUCCUCUCCUCACAGAGUGAUACAUGCGUUACACUCUUGGAAUAGAUGUGUGACACACACGCACAGAGGGGUGCCAACCAGGGAAGGUCACGUGGCCCUCCAUGCUCAGAAAUUUUUUUUUAAGGUUUUAUUUAUUUAUUCAUGAGAAACACAGAGAGAGAGGCAGAGACAUUGGCAGAGGGAGAAGCAGACUCCCCAUGGUGAGCCUGAUGCACCACCCGAGCUGAAGACAGACACUCAACCACUGAGCCACCCAGGUGUCCGGGUGUUCAGAGGUUUUACUGGGUGUUUCUGGGCUGAAUAGUGUCCCCCCAAAUUCACAUAUUGAAGUCCUAGCCCCCAGUACCCUCAGAAUGUGACCUUAUUUGGAAAUACGAUGUUUGCAGAUGUGAUUAGUUAAGGAGGAGUCAUACUGUGUAGGGUAAUAAUCCAGUAUGGAUUAUUAUGGAUUAUAGUCCAUGAUGCAAUAUGACUGGUGUCCUUAUGAAAAGGGAAAAUUUUGUCAUAGACUCACACACAGGGAAAAGCUGUGUGAAGAUGAAGGCAGAAAUUGGGGUGAUGUGUCUGUGAGCCAAAGGAUACCAAAGAUUGCCAGCAAACCACUGAAAGCCGGGGAAGAGGCCUGGGACACGGUCUUCCUCGCUGACUCAGGAGGAACCAGCCCUGCCGGCAUGGUGCUCUCGGACUUCGGGCCUCCAGAAGGUGGGAGAGUAGAGUUCUAUUGUUUGAGCCCCUUUGUCACAGCAGCCCAAGGACACAAAUUCACUGGGACUCCAUUACAAAGGCACAAUUGAUUGCUCACGUGGAAGAUCUGUCUCCAGUCCCAUUGAGUGUCACCCAAAGGCCAUGUGGCUGGACUCUCCAAUGUGACGAGGGCCCUCAGGCAAACAAAAGUUCUCCUGCCAGGCAUGGCAUCCAGGGCCUCCAAGCACAGAGGCCAGACCUCUUUGCGAGUUGGUUGAAUUCUUGACCACACAGAGGCCUGGAGGGGAGAUGUGACUUGCCCAGGGUCACACUGAUAGUGAGCAGCUGGCCUGAUUUACAGUUAGGGCACUCCCCACUGUGCCUGCUGCUGGCAGCUCUUCUGAGCUCACAGCCCAGGUCAAGCUACAGAUGGGCCAAGAAAUUGGCCCGAUUCCAUUGCUUUAGGUCAUCUGAUGUUCAUGCUUUUGUGGAUUCGAACAGGCUAUCUUUGACUGUCCAGGCAUGAACUUCCCAUCAGAGGAACACCCCUUAGGUGACCAAAGGUCACCCUGAGAAGCCCCUUAUGACUUUCCCAUGGCACGGUGGGUGUGGUAUUCCCACUGUGCACCUGCUGUCCUUUCCCCCUAUGGUCAGAGUGAGCUGUGUGGACUGCAUCGGUUUCCAAUGCUCUAUAACAAAUUACCCUCAAACUCCGUGGCUUUAACAUUUAUUAUCUUGGUGUCUGUGGCUUGGGUAUUCAGGACUGACUUCGUGGGAGGUUCUGGCUCAGGAUCUCUUGUCAGGCUACCUUCAAGCUGUCAGCCAGGGCUGCAGUGUCAUCCAAAGACUUGACUGGGCUGGAGAACUCAUUUCCUGAUGGCUCCCUCACACGGCUGUUGGCAGGAAGACUCAGCUCCUCACCACACAGGCCCGCCCCCCGCCCCCACCCCCACCCCUUGCUCAUCCCCGCAGCUUGGUGCCUGGCAUACCCCAGAGUGAGAGGGAAAGGAAGAAGUUGCAGUCUUUUGUGACCUUGUGUUGGAAGUCACAUGCCAUGCCUUCUGUCAUGGGCUGUGCACUAUAAUCUGUGCUAAGUCCAACCACACUGAAGGGGAGGUGAAUUAGACUCUGCCUCUUGGGGACGUGCUUGAGAACCAGUGACUUCCCCCCCAGCCAGGAGCUUGUCGAGGAGCAGCAGGAAUGACCAUCCAUCACCCCAUUACUCAGCUCCUGCUGUUGGCCAGGGACCCAGGGACCUUAGCAAAUGUCAUCCCAGUCCGGGGCUGUUUGGGGUGAGAAACAAAGUGGUGGGGCCCAGAGCCAGGGAUGCUAACACCCAGCUCAAUGGUGCCUGGAGGUGUUUCUCGUUUACAGUUUAAAGCACUCCACUUGCUCUCCCCCAGGCACCAUGUGGGCCCAAGGGAAACAGAUGAGUGAGACACUGGCCGCCCUCCAGACGCUGGUGGUAAAGGGAGACAGAAUUAAGAACUAAUGUUUCAAUACAGUGUGAUCAGUGCUGGAAGAAGAUUGAUGAAUGAAUCAGUGUAGAAGGACAAAGGAGGGAGGGGUCACAUUUGCUGGGACAUCUUCCCCAAAGAAGAGCCUAUUUUGCUGGGCUUUGAAGGGUAAGUAGGAGCCCAUUAUCCCAGCAAAGAAAGAAAGAGCAUUACAGGCAGAGAGUAGCACAUGCAAAGGCCCGAAGGUGCUGGGAGCCCAGGGUUUUGGGAACUGUGAGCAGUUUGGGGCGUGUGGGCAGAUGGCAGAAAAUAAGGUUGCAUGUGAGUAGUUCAGCCCAGAUUGUGAAGACUGGCUGUAAUUUAUGAUCAACAUUUCCCAAAAUGUAUUUCAUGACUCAUGGUUCUGUGAGAUAUUAACAGACCUUCCCCCAAAAACAGACCCCAAGAUUAUUUAAGUUCAGGAAGCCCAGGAUUAAGCCCACUUAAAACUGCUUCCCUACUGCAGGACUUCUCAGAGCCUUUAAUUCUCUAAUAUCCAUGAGAAUCUCCAAGAGAAAGAUAGAUUGGAUGGGAUCCGGUCAACAUUCAACUAUGUGGUAUUCCCGAACUCAUGUGAUCGUGGGACCCUCUUCCUGAGGGAGUCUCAGAGGCCUGUGUUCCAGGGAACACACUUUGGGAGCUACUGCUUAUAGCCAGUUGUCAAGAUCAGGUAUGAUUAGGUUCAUAGCUCCUGGCAGAAAGAACUGGUUAGCAGCAUGGGGAAGGAGAAGGAUGGCAAAGAUGCUGAGGGAUGGCACCUGUUGGCUUGUGAUUGGUUAGGUCAGCUUGGGGGUUGGAGGGUGAAGCAGAAAACAGAAUUGUGGUGGAUACUCUGGUUUCUAGCGGGUCGUGGUUCCACUGACUCAGACAGGAAGUAUGACGGAGCAAGGCAGGCGUGUGGUGUGGAUGGUUUGGGUGCUUCUGUGUCAGCCGGGAGGUCUGUAACUGGGCGUGGCUGGGUCACCCGAACUUCAUUAGCAGAAACCCCAGGACCACAAAUUCACCAACGUGGAAGAAAUGGCCAGGUUCCUGGAAAAGCCCAGCUUAUCCAAACUGACACAGGAAAAGAAACAGAAAACCUGGCUAGCGCCCUGUCUGUGAAAGACACCAAAUUCAUAAUCCAAAGUCUUUGCACAAAGAAAACGCCAGGCUCAGACAGUUCCACUGGGAAAUCUAGUCAAAUGCACUAGGGAGAAAUGCGCCGCAUCCCACAAACACUCUUUCAGAAGGUGACAAGGGGGAGCGGUAUGGGCAGGUGCGGCUCCGCGUCACACGGGCCUGGCUCUGGUCCGCACUGCGCUGCCCGCAUCCGUUCAGAGUCUUGCUCUGGGCGCCCUCCACGUGUCACACGCCGCGCUGGGCGCUGGAGCCACGUUAGUGAGCCCAGCAGGUAAAACUCGGUGCCCUCCCUAAACGAUGCAAGCUUGGACAGGUCACUCAACGGCUCUGCGCCGGGGGUCCCGUGCAUGCGAAGUGGGGACAGCACUCCCGUCCUGCCUGAGAAGUGGUGCUGAGGGAGGGAGGCAGGCAGCCUGCAGCAGGCAGUUCCCAGCGGCCACUGAUGCUUGUCUGCCUGUCCUGUGUGUAUGUGUGUGUCCCACGGCCUGCCCUCUCAGGCUUGAAAAUGUGUGGCAGCAGCAGCGGCAGCAGCCAUGACGAGGCCCCCGUCCUGAGCGACAAGCACCUGGAUGUGCCCAACAUCAUCAUCACCCCCCCGACCCCCACGGGCAUGAUGCUGCCACGGGACUCCAGGCAGACAGUCUGGCUGGAUGAGACAGGGUCGUGCCCAGAGGAUGGAGAAAUAGACCCUGAGGCCUGAGGAGGAGGCACAGGUCGGAGAUUGUCCUCACUGGCUCCUGCUCCAGCCGCCCCCAACUCACAUGUCUCUGGGGGUGUGGCUGCCUGGGACAGCUGUGCUGAGGUCGCUGGAUACUGGCCGGGAAAACAAAGGAUUCUGGGAGCCCACCAGUUGCAAUGUGGCAAGAAGAGCAAGGAAUCAGCCCUGCCUGCUUCCAGAGCCAUGUUUCCCAGGCCCCACCGAGUGGGGACUCCUAACACCCACACAUUCACGGUGACGGCCACCGGGGUGGCAGGGAGAGGCUCUCUUCUGGACAAACGAAUCCUCCCUGCACCCUGGGCCACACAGACGGGUACGCAGGAGAGGGACACACACAAGAACUUCUUGCAGAAGAGUGGCUCUGUUUUUUACGAGUUGUUUUACAGAUAUCAAAACAGUCCACAAAGUGAUUUAUAAUUCCUUUUUUGCAUUAUCAAUAAAGGUCAUCUGUAA